UGGGGUAUAGUCUAAUGGUAGGACAGCAGUCUCUGGCUCUGUGUGUCGGGGUUCGAUUCCCUGUACCCCAGCCA
rnacentral:tRNA from 1 species